ACUAAACGGGCCAGAUGUGGCGCUGACUAAGCGGGCUCCAGCCCGCUGCAAGACGCGCUGUGCAGGAAGUCCCACAGCCGCCCAGGCGCUGCCACUCCAGCCAGAGCUAGUACUCAUGGGCGCCAGACAAGCUGAUGACGAUAAAACGCCACGCCAGUGCCUGGAAAGAAACGCUGCCCAGAAGGAAACCUAGGGGGCCUGCACAGGUGAUGCAAGCGUCAGCCGCAAGUUCAACUUCGGUGACCCACCCUGAACCUCCUCCACUUCACAAAGCGCGCCACCCGCCGACCAGAUGGCAACAAAGUGCUCCAGCUUAGCCGCCUUGAGCUGUGCGGUGAGAAGCUGAGUGGGCAGAGCCGACAGGGUUUCAG
rnacentral:lncRNA from 1 species